AAGUCGUAACAAGGUUUCCGUAGGUGAACCUGCGGAAGGAUCAUUAGUGAACUUUGGAAAGUCGGCCUGUGGGGACUGUGCUGGCGCUCCGUCGCAUGUGCACGUCUCCCUGGUCGCACCCCAAUCCAUCACACCUGUGCACCUUUGGCUCCGAAUCUCGUCCCCCUGGGGACAGCCGACCGCGAGGUCCGAGAUGAAGGGGUUCCAAUUUUUACCACACUCUUUGUACAAGAAUGAAGAACGAUUACCUGCGCUCCGGCGCGAAAAACAAAAACAACUUUCAACAACGGAUCUCUUGGCUCUC
rnacentral:misc_RNA from 1 species